rnacentral:lncRNA from 1 species
UGAUUUCUUGCGAUAUUUUCCAAAGUGCUAUAGAAUAUUUUUUCCUGUGGAAUCAGUUGUUUACCCUUAGGUAUCUUCUUUUUCAUGAUUUGUUUUUUGAUCAUUUUUAAGCAUGUGUGUUUAAAUGUGGAUGCUGGUGCGUAAGGAAGCAUCAGAUCCCCUGGAGUUGGAGUUAUGUGCAGUUGUGAGCUGCCUAUAAGAGGUGCUAUGACUUGAACUCAAGUCCUGGAAGAGCAGUGCUUACUUGUAACUGCUGAGCAAUCUUCCUGCUCAUCUUUAGGGGGAUCUUUUGACAAGACAGAGGAACUUUAAUUUUACGAGUUUAUACUAAAGGUCAAAGAGAUGACACAGCAGCUAAAGUACUUGCCUUGGAAGCAAGAAAACCACAGCUAAAAUGUCCAGGUCUUCCCUCAGGCUGGCACUGCUUUGUAGGGGUGGUCAUGGCUGAGGUGGCCUGGUCCUGCAAGUGCUCACACUUCCCAGGCUCCUUCUGAGCCCCUCCUGGCUAUCGGAUAGACUGAUGUGGUGGAGUGGAUAGUGCUAGAAUUUUCUUCACUAAGCUUACACUGCGUAUGCUCUACUUGUGUGGUUGUGCUUUCUGAAAUGCUAGGGUCCUCAAGUCCCAUAUAAACUAUGGUGGAAGAAGGUAGAGAUGGGAUCCCCUGCACAAGCUGGCUGACAAGACAAGAUAUAUUGUUUGAUUAAGAGAUCCUAUUUUAAUGAAUAAGGCAGAAGGACCAAGGGAGGUUCCUGACCUUAGUCUCAGGCCUCUGUGCCUGUAGGACUCAAAGUUGGCUCGAGACACCCCAAGACCGUGCUCUUAGGACAAAUGAGAUUUAUUUGUCCCAGAGGGACAAAGGGCAGGGAAUAAGAGACAGAGGGGAGAUGAAGGAGCAGGAGAAGGGAGAGAGGUAAAGGGUAUUUGUUCCAGAGAGACAAAGGACUGUCUCUGAAUAGAAAGGAUACAGACAGGAGACAAAUGUGGCCUGUAGGCAAAGGUCAGUUUAUAAAGAUAAAAGGGAAAAUGCCAUGUUAGGAUGAGUUGGUUAAUUUUUACUGAUGCAUUUACUUUAAUGAAGUCACCUGCAGUACAUAUCUUCUAUGUGAACCCUCUGCUCAGUAUGGUGUGUGCUAUCACUGAGAGUAUUAACAGUCCAUCUUUAGGUUUAUUCUGUCAUGCGAAUGUGCCAGUUUCUUUUCUGUUGUCUUUGUUGGGCACCUGGGCAGCUUCAGCUUCUGCCUGUAAUGGAUUAGGCCCCUGUGAAGAUUUGCAACAAGUCGUAUAUAUUUGCUGAAGUUUAACACAUUAUGCUACAUGGGCAAAACCAUCCAGAUUGCAAGGGUGGGAGCAACCCCGAAGCAGGCUCUUAAGACCUGGCUGGUUUAAUACUUGGAAUCCUCCUGUUUCUACCUCCUGAGUGCUGGGCUCACAAGCACACACCACACUUUUCUUAUUUCUUGUACACCUCUCAACUGCUUCAAGUGAUUCUGUUUUGAUUUCACCUGUUUUUAUUUUUAUAACUUACGGAGACCAUAGGAAAAUGACAAGGGACAGAUUCUAGAGAGCUUUUCUUCCCUGCUAUUUACAAUUCAUAUUCUUAGUGAUGCUUUUUUCAGUUGAUGAUCAGUGUGGUGUUGUGACUGUGGCUGUAUAGGGAUAACUAUAGCUAACACAAAAGACUUCUGUAUACAGCAUGCUAAUUCUAAGAGCUGUUGGUGGAUAAACUUCAUAUAUUUAUUUAUAGAUAAGUCACAGAGCUGUCAGGCAACUUGUAUGUGGCCUUAAAGUUGGGCUUUGAAGCCAGGACUUUAAGCUUCAGGGUACAUGCUCUAAUUAAGAUCCAAAGGAGGCCCAGCAAGGUGGCUCAGGGAGUUGGUGAAGUCUCUUGCUGCCAAGCUUGGUGGACCUGAGUUUAAUCCCAGAAUUGCCUGUAUGAUAGAGAGAAACAGAGUUACAGGAAGUUCUCUGAACAUGCACUCCCCCCAACACAUACAACAAACAAAUAAGC